UGUUGCAAAGUUAUUUAAAAUUUGUCCAUUUUCAAAAUCUUUGAAAGGUUUUAGAAAUGUAUUUGUUAAAAUAAUCGCAGCCUUAAACUUAUAGUCACUUGAGAGAUCUAUAAAUUGAGCCAAAUUAUAUACAUGUUUUAUGUCAAUGAAUACCACUGUUUGUGCAUGUUUUUUUUUUUUGGAGGGCAGGGGUCUUAUUUGCCCAGUGCUCAUAGUUUUUUAGUCGAUCAAUAAAAUUCAUUUAAAGCUUACAGACCAGCUAUAAGGGCAAGAAGCUUAUCAAGCACUCAUGGUUUAGAUUUUUAUUAAACACACAUUAAUAUACAUAUAAAUGUACAUUAAACAGAAAAAAUAUUGAUGCAAGAUGUCAUUCAACUUUUACUCUUUUAUGUAUAGGACAAGAACUAUAGAAGGUACAGAGAAAUAAUAUACAGCAGAAAUGAUAGGCAAUGUAAAAUUUGCAGAAGCCAACUAAACCUAAAUGGUGAUCAGACAUCUCGGUUUUCAUGAUCAAUAGGUCAUUACUGAAGAGGAAACUUAAAGUUGAAAUUUAUUUACAUAGUGCAUAAUUGGAUUAAUUUGAAAUGGAAUGUGUGCUUUCCUGCAAAAAAGAAAUAGGAAAUUUCAACAUGUGAUAAUGACCAUAUAAAACAAAAUGGAGUUCUAUCAUAGAUACCUGAAAACACUAUUGCAUAAAAGCAACAACAUAUCUUAAUCAAAAGAAAGGAGAAUGCAGAACAAAUACUAUUUUGUUGUUGAAAAAAGGAACACCAGUUUUAUCCACUCAUUUACAUCGCUCCCUCAUAUCAAAUAUAUAUACAGAAGAAGAUCAUUGAAGAACAAUUUGCAAAAAUGAUUUCUCUUAGAAUUGCAGGGAAUUGUUUAGUGAAGUAUAAUGUAUUCACUGAAUUCUUACAUAGUGGAUUGAAUAACUGUACACAAGCUGAAACAGAAGAAAUUCUAAUUUAAAAUAACACGAAAAGUGUUUAUUUUAUUAUUUAAUCUGCAAAUAUAUAAAUAUUUUUUUUAGAACACCACAAAUGAUAUAAUGACAUUCAAAUUGGUUGCUUAUUAUUGUAUCGCAUUGAAACAAUUACAAAGAAAACAGAAGCAUUUGCUCCAAAAAAAUUAUAAAUCAAAGUUAAAUUUAUAUAAAAAGUAUAAACAAUACCUAGAUCUAAACAGUCAGACUGUAUUAUUUUCAAUGUCAUUAAAAUUUUGAGUCAAACAUUUAUUAUUAAAUUUUUAAAUAUCA